rnacentral:rRNA from 1 species
GUAAGGAAUAUUGGACAAUGGACGCAAGUCUGAUCCAGCCAUGCCGCGUGAAGGAUUAAGGUCCUCUGGAUUGUAAACUUCUUUUAUAAGGGACGAAAAAAUGCUUUUCUAAGUCGUCUGACGGUACCUUAUGAAUAAGCACCGGCUAACUCCGUGCCAGCAGCCGCCGUAAUACCGAGGGUGCAAGAGUUAUCCGGAUUCACUGGGUUUAAAGGGUGCGUAGGCGGGCAGGUAAGUCAGUGGUGAAAUCCUAGAGCUUAACUCUAGAACUGCCAUUGAUACUAUCUGUCUUGAAUAUUGUGGAGGUAAGCGAAAUAUGUCAUGUAGCGGUGAAAUGCUUGUAUAUGACAUAGAACACCUAUUGCGAAGGCAGCUUACUACGAAUAUAUUGACGCUGAGGCACGAAAGCGUGGGGAUCAAACAGGAUUAGAAACCCGGGUAGUCC